GAGAUAGAUUAGUGCCUUCGGGAGCGCAGUGACAGGUGCUGCAUGGCUGUCGUCAGCUCGUGUUGUGAAAUGUUGGGUUAAGUCCCGUAACGAGCGCAACCCUUGUCCUUAGUUGCUAGCAGGUUAAGCUGAGAACUCUAAGGAGACUGCCGGUGACAAACCGGAGGAAGGUGGGGACGACGUCAAGUCAUCAUGGCCCUUACGACUUGGGCUACACACGUGCUACAAUGGCCAGCACAAAGGGUUGCCAAGCCGCGAGGUGGAGCUAAUCUCAUAAAACUGGUCGUAGUCCGGAUUGGAGUCUGCAACUCGACUCCAUGAAGUCGGAAUCGCUAGUAAUCGUGAAUCAGAAUGUCACGGUGAAUACGUUCCCGGGCCUUGUACACACCGCCCGUCACACCAUGGGAGUGGGUUGCUCCAGAAGUGGCUAGUCUAACCUUCGGGGGGACGGUCACCACGGAGUGAUUCAUGACUGGGGUG
rnacentral:rRNA from 1 species